AGGUGGAAUAUCACAAAUAAGUCCCAGUGCGAAUACGUCAAUUUAAUGGUCAGAUAUGUACACCAAAAUGAAGCAUAUCACAGGCAGACAGCAGUAAGGUUUCAAUGUUCUGUUCCAAGUACCAGCUGAGAUUUUCAUCUAACACAGAAAACAGCAGAAAAAACUCCCGAUCCACAUCUUUCUGCAAGAGAUGAAAACAGGGGGCCUAUGAGACCAGAGUUGGUGUCUCUGACUGGAUCACUGGAGGAGAAGUACAGGUAGGAAAUACAGGGUGGGUCACUUUCAGAUGGUCCCUCCUUCAACAGCCACCUGUAUGUGAAUGUUUCACCUGGCUGAACCUGAUAUCCUUUCCUCUUUAUACCUACAAUACAUUAAGACAUUAUUUUACUGGGACAAAAACAAACUUUUUGAUUGACACAUUAUUAGCCAGAUGGUGUGAAAUAAGUCUCACCAUCUUGAUAAAAGACACCCUCAAAUGGUUUGUCAUACUGAAGACCAUGUGGCUGGAUACUGUAGAUUCUGUCAGCCUUAUUCAUAAACAUCACCUGAAGGGUGUCUCCAACCUCGGCCCUCAGAACUGGACCUACAGACACCAUGAUGUAAAUGGGAUAGACAGGUUUAGAUCAAAUUCAAGAAACUUUUUAUCUAACCUAGGUUGUAUAAUUAUUUAAAUCCACAUGAAGAAGCUUACCCAAAAUGCCUAGAUGUGUCUCGGCACUGGUUUGCUUUCUCUUUAAAGUGAAACUCUCAUCUGUAUAUUCUUUGUACACCACUUUCCAAUACUUUCCACCAAGUCGGCCACGAUCCAUCCCGAAGAACACCUCUGAAAAGCUAAGUAUGACCAAGAAUUUGUCAAAAAACAAAAACUUGCAUAAACUAAUUGCAGUGCAUGUCUGAAUUAUAAUCAGAUAUUUAACCUCCCAGGUUUGGUCAGCGACUCAUUGGUCAGUUUAUCCAUCCCUGAUGGACGAGACUUUGAACAGGGCCUGCAUACCAGCUGUGGAAGACAACAUGGAAGAGCCCUGUAACCUUCUGUAGACAGCAUGUAAAGCUUAAUAUCAAACGAAG